rnacentral:tRNA from 1 species
GGAGGUAUACCCAAGUCCGGCUGAAGGGAUCGGUCUUGAAAACCGACAGGGGAAGUCAAAUCCCGCGGGGGGUUCGAAUCCCUCUACCUCCUCCA